UCUCAACCGAUUUGGGUGAUCCAAAAGGCUAAGUUGUGAGAUUUUUCGAGGGCAACGUGUUGGUGAGCUCGGAUAGUGAUUUGGAGUCCCCGUUUGAGGUAAUUUUCGAAAAAUACCUGCUGCCAGACCUCUUUUUGUGACUUGAUUUUGGAAAUUUUGAGACUUGUUUUCUUAGCCAUUUUAGAUCCGAUUUUGGUGAUUUUUGAGGCUAUCUUGAGUGGUUUUUCGAGGAGAACAUUGUGGUGUUGUUAGAUUUUACUGUAGAUCGCUCGUUUUUGGUAAAUACACUGCUGUCCCAUUUCGAUUUUUGAGAAAAUUUGGGUUUUAGUUGUAUGUUGGUAUUGUGUUGUUCCCGAGCCCCGAAUUGUGUCCCAUUAUGGGAAAUGAGCUGGGGGAACUGGUUAGGACCCACUUUUGGGGUUAAUUUCGGAAUUUUCUGUGUGGGUCCCACGAUUCCCGUUUUGACUCCAAAAUUGACCCGUCUCUGUUUGUUGUGAUUUUGGUGUCUAAACGACCGUAUUAACGUUGUGAUACUAUUUUUGAUAGCGGGGAAGCGUUUCGAGACCAUUCGGAAAGGAAAAUCUCCGGAGGAGUGAUUUUGGAGCGCGUGUGAUCGGCUUUAAGGUCCGGGCACUAGUAGCCAGCGUUGAUCGAGCUUGGAGCAGACUGAUCCGGAGACGGGAGUGAGCACACGACGUUUUGUACUAUUUCAGUCUCCAUCUGUAUAUAUAGACUUGUCUUUUACCUUUCGAGACAGUCCAGUCUCUGUUGUCCACUUUUGGGACUUGUACUCAUUUUGUUAGUAGCUCUGUACUAGUGACUUCCAGGUUCUGGGAGGGAUCUUUAUUUGUAUAUAUGUUUUUGGUUUGCUUCCGCCUGUUU